rnacentral:misc_RNA from 1 species
AGCAGCCGCGGUAAUUCCAGCUCCAAUAGCGUAUAUUAAAGUUGUUGCAGUUAAAAAGCUCGUAGUUGAAUUUCGGGAUCAGUUGAUCGGUCGUGCCUCGGUACGUACUGGUCAAAUUGAUUCCUACCUUCUGACGAACCACGAUGUCAUUAAUUUGGUGUCGCGGGAAAUCAGGACUGUUACUUUGAAAAAAUUAGAGUGUUUAAAGCAGGCUCGCGCUUGAAUACAUUAGCAUGGAAUAAUGAAAUAGGACGUUUGAUUCUAUUUUGUUGGUUUCUAGAAUCGACGUAAUGAUUAAUAGGGAUAGUUGGGGGCAUUAGUAUUCAAUUGUCAGAGGUGAAAUUCUUGGAUUUAUUGAAGACUAACUACUGCGAAAGCAUUUGCCAAGGAUGUUUUCAUUAAUCAAGAACGAAAGUUAGGGAUCGAAGACGAUCAGAUACCGUCGUAGUCUUAACCAUAAACUAUGACCGACUAGGGAUCGGAUGA